GGGGCCUACAGUUAGUUAAGACAGUCCUAGAGGUGUUCUAGUGGGACCUAAAGUUAAGACAGUCCUAGAAGUGUACUAGUGGGGCCUACAGAUAGUUAAGACAGCCCUAGAGGUGUUCUAGUGGGGCCUACAGUUAAGACAGUCCUCGAGGUGUUCUAGUGGGGCCUACAGUUAGUUAAGACAGUCCUAGGGGUGUUCUAGUGGGGCCUACAGUUAAGACAGUCCUAGAGGUGUUCUCGUGGGGCCUACAGUUAGUUAAGACAGUCCUAGAGGUGUUCUAGUGGGACCUACAGUUAAGACAGUCCUAGAAGUGUACUAGUGGGGCCUACAGAUAGUUAAGACAGCCCUAGAGGUGUUCUAGUGGGGCCUACAGUUAAGAC